GCGAUUUAGGUCGUUUUAGACCUUACAGUCGGAGAUGAAAGCAUCGAUUGGGCGUCGAAAGUAUCUUUCGUAGAGCUCCGGCGAGACUCCUAAGACUAUUGAGGAUGAAAGAGAGAAUAUGGAGGAGUACGGCGAUGACAGUGAUAGCGAUACGCAAGAGACGGGACAUCGUGGGCAUUUAAGGGAAUGAUGACCAGAGGAUUUUGUUUGCAACUUUUUUUCUCUCAGCUUGGAGCCAAAGCCAGUAAGUUUCCCAAUCAGACUUCACGUCCGUCCUUAUAACAUUACACACCGAGGUAUCCAAUGCAGACAUCCCUGAAGAAACUGCAGCUGCAUACUUGAGAGCAAUUGAGGAAGGUACAGACUUCAUAGAAACAAAUAUCUUAUCAUCCAAAGACGGUGGUGCUUAUAUGUUUCCAUGAUGUUAUCCUUGACCUAACAACCAAUGUUGCGACUCACAAGGAGUUUAAAACAUCACAUGAGAUCGUAAAACAACACACUGGCUUUUUCACUUGUAACGUUCUUUUUUGUUUCUUAUACUUGAGUUGAUGCAUACCAAUGGGUUCUUCUCAGCAUAACUUGAGGAGACACUUAACAAGUAUAGGUACGGAGGCACAUAAUUGUCCAAGAAGUGGUUGAAAAUACCAAUGCUUAUUCUAUGAUACUCUUCUUGUUUGUGUAUUCCUCAAAGUUGUUAUCUUUCUACUAAAAGUUACUGUCUGAUCCUUUAACUUCAGCCAAGACUGUAUAAGGAAUACAAGAGUACUUGAGAUUAUUGGAGUUGAUGGACUCUUCACCAAUUUCACUGGUAGCCUCCAUAACUAUCAAGAAUGGACACCCCCAUUACCUGAAAGCUUGGUCACCGGUCUGCCUGUAAGAUUUCACUCUACGCCAGUCCACUCCCAGUAAUCACUAUUUGUGUUAUUAGAUCAAGUAGGGAGGAUACUCGGAGAGAUUAUGUACUUCUUGAUCGCCAAGAUAUAUAUUUAUUUUCUUCUUCAACACAGUUUUAGUGUCCAUGUAUCUGUCAGUAUCAUCACCCAUAUCAAGUACUGGCCCAAGAACACCAAAGAGUUCAGAGUAAAGUUAUUAUACACGUCUUUGUCUUUGGAGACCA